rnacentral:lncRNA from 1 species
CACAACCAAGAAGGAAAUGAACAUCGAUAGCUCUCUAGACUUGUGUUCUGUAAUUAAAAAGUUGGCACCCUCAGAAAUGAAGAUUUAACAGAGGCGAGAGCGUCCCUUGGAGAUCUUCCCCUUCUGAUAUGGUGGUACAGGUGUGCCGAGACAGAGGUACCAGGCAUGGAACAACAUCUGGAAGUGGCCACUUCUGUGUACAGAAAACCCAAUUUGGCCUGUAAUUAUAGUCUCACCAUCAAGCCUACAUUGCAGUAACAAUUCAUUCUCCCAACUUCAAGAUUCCACAUAGUGCUGGACAUCCAUAGAGUCGAAGAAGAUCUGUUGAAUGUUUAUAGCUGCCAGUCUGCUCUGGCAGUCAGACCACCUUGGAUCAUUGCUUUCUCAUCCACGAAGUGGAGAAGGUCGAGUCGAUGAUGUUGAAGAUCUGUGGUCCUGGAGUUACCAAUCUAUAGUCCUUUGGCUUACAAGAAUAAGAAUAAAAACAAUUAAUGACAUC